rnacentral:rRNA from 1 species
UACAGAGGUCUCAAGCGUUGUUCGGAUUCAUUGGGCGUAAAGGGUGCGUAGGCGGCGCGGUAAGUCGGGUGUGAAUUUUCGGAGCUUAACUCCGAAACUGCAUUCGAUACUGCGGUGCUUGAGGACUGGAGAGGAGACUGGAAUUCAUGGUGUAGCAGUGAAAUGCGUAGAGAUCAUGAGGAAGACCAGUGGCGAAGGCGGGUCUCUGGACAGUUCCUGACACUGAGACACGAAGGCCAGGGGAGCAAACGGG